rnacentral:misc_RNA from 1 species
CAACAACGAAAGGAGGUGAUCCAGUGUCUAGAGAAGCAUUGGAGAAAGGUGUCGGAACAAAUCGGGGGAUUGCGGUCCAGGGCUAACCCACGGAUCAGAUGACCGAUUUGGCAGGAGCCACUCCGGCACCCGCCUCCGAGUUCUCGAAGGGUCGUCCGUGAGGGCGACCC